ACAAAUGUGAGCUUACACCUCAUGUCAAUGACGGUACCUGACCUUUAGAUACUGUUAGAUACAAUCUGUAUCCCGUUUAUGGUAAAACAGUUUAUAGAAAAAAAACUAACUCUUUAGCAAUGUAUAAAGGAAUAUUUUUUCUGAAAAUCCACCACAUUUUUCUCUAUCCUACAUUUUAACUAUUCCUUUCAGGAUCGGACUGGGCCAGCGGGACACUGGGAAAAAACCCGGUGGGCCCUGCCUCUUUUGGGCCCGACGACCCAGAACCGCUCCCUGAACUCCUUCUCUCUGCACUCCUUCCAUGAACCCGGUCGUGCUGACUCACAGAAGAGGUACACUCGUGCGUGCGCACGCAAUCCAGGGAAGGGGAGUGCAGAGAGAAAAUUUGCAGCUGGGGGCCCGGGGGUGAUAUGGGGCCCUGCUGUGCUGGCCCAGAUCUGCUCCCUGAACUCCUCUCUCCCUGCACUUCCUCCCUGAACCCGGUCACGCUAAUGCACAGAAAAGGUACCAAUGUGCGUGAGCUCCGGGGAAGGGAGGGGGGAGUACAGAGAGAGAACUUUGCGGCUGGGGGACAACGCUGAGCCCUUUAGUUUAGGCAUACUGUUUAAAUAUGCUUAUUUCUCCUUUCUCAGGCUCUGACUUCAUUGGCAUCCACUGUAUCACAGCUUGAUAACAUGUCUGAUCCUGGCCCAUGUUCCUUACCUUAAACACUCUGGAAUCAUAAACCUGAAAGUUGAGCCAAAGUAGGCUCAGGAUGCAGCAAAGGUUCUGAUACAUGUUAACAGUUCCUUCUGUGAGAAGCUUUCUGCUCCUUAACUCCUUCCGAUGAAGCAGCUUCUUUCCCAGGGAGUAGUUUACCGGCGACUGCGUGGAGGAAGCAAAUGAGCAUCCCAGGUUGAACAGCAGCGAGGAGGAACCGCUCGGGGAGGACUUUGCUAAAAAUCAGAUCUGCGGGAAGUGUCUUUCCUAUGGAAUCGUCUAGAGGAUACACAGAUGGGUCCCGAGGAGCGGAGGAGUAGAGUAUGCUUUGUUGCAGUUAAAACCUACCUAAUGCUAUCACUGCGUAUGCAAUACGGGGACUGAAUCUAGAGUUGUCCGGCUAUAGAGAUGCUUGCCCACACAAAUAUAUUCCUUCAAAGUGGUUCCAAUUACACACUCCAA